AACUUCAACAUGGCCGAAGCAAGUACCGCCAAUCUAGGCAGCGGCUGUGAGGAAAAAAGGCAUGAGGGGUCGUCUUCGGAAUCUGUGCCACCCGGCACUACCAUUUCGAGGGUGAAGCUCCUCGACACCAUGGUGGACACUUUUCUUCAGAAGCUGGUCGCCGCCGGCAGGAGGAAAUCUCUGACAUCAAAGAGGAGGGGAACCUAGAAGCUGUCUUGAAUGCCUUGGAUAAAAUUGUGGAAGAAGGCAAAGUCCGCAAAGAGCCAGCCUGGCGCCCCAGCGGGAUCCCAGAGAAGGAUCUGCACAGUGUUAUGGCACCCUACUUCCUGCAGCAACGGGACACCCUGCGGCGCCAUGUGCAGAAACAGGAGGCCGAGAACCAGCAGCUGGCAGAUGCCGUCCUGGCAGGGCGGAGGCAGGUGGAGGAGCUGCAGCUACAGGUCCAGGCCCGGCAGCAGGCCUGGCAGGUCAGUGUCCCAGCCUGCCUCUUCCUCUUCCUUCUCUAAUGGGCCCUCUGAGAUCCGCAAAUUGGUGGCUUCCUCCAUUCCAACACAGGGGACCCCCACAGGGGGUAGGAGAGCUUGCCCCCUGGGGAACAGUCAUGAAUUACCUCUCCUUGGGCGUGUGCAGUAGCCUCUGCCAGCCUCAGCAGACAGUCUCCCCCAGAUCCUCCACCAGGCACAGGCAUGUGUUCCCCUGAUGGAGCAGGUGAGGACCCAGGCCCAGAGAGGGCAGGUGAGUCACCCAAGGUAACAGCGCCUCCACAUCAGAUUUGGAGUUAAAACCUGGUGCUGGUUCUACUGCUCCAUGUGACCACUGCCCAACAUAGAUACAUAUAUUCUAAACCCGGUAUAUGGUAGGGGGAUGGGAAGAGAACAAGAACAGAGGAUGAGACAGUAUUUUUUAAAAUUGAUACAUCAUAUUUUACAUAUUUAGGAAGUACAUGUGAUAUUUUGCUACAUGCAUAGAACGUGCAGUGAUCAAGUCAGGGUAUUUGAGGUGUUCAUCACUUUGAGUAUUUAUCAUUUCUAUGUGUUGGGAGCAAUUCAAGACCUCUCUUCUAACUACUUUGGUUUUGGUUUUGUUCUGAGAUGGGGGUCUCGCUAUACUGCCCAGGCCAGUCUCGAACUCCUGGCCUCAAGCAGUCUUCCUGUCUCAGCCUCCUGAAUAGCUGGGAUUACAUGUGCUCAUCACUGCACAAGGCUCUUCUUAGCCACUUUGCAAUAUGGAGUACAUUGUUGUUAACUAUAGUUACCUUACACUACUGUUGAACAGUAG
rnacentral:sRNA from 1 species